CCUACGGGAGGCAGCAGUGGGGAAUAUUGCACAAUGGGGGAAACCCUGAUGCAGCGACGCCGCGUGAGGGAAGAAGUAUUUCGGAAUGUAAAGCUCUAUCAGCAGGGAAGAAAAUGAAGGUUGCUAAUUAACAAGCCACGGCUAACUACUUGCCAGCAGCCGCGGUAAUACGUAGGGGGCAAGCGUUACCCGGAAUUACUGGGUGUAAAGGGAGCGUAGACGGCAGGACAAGUCUGGAGUGAAAUGCCGGGGCUUAACCACGGAACUGCUUUGGAAACUGUACAGCUAGAGUGCAGGAGAGGAAAGUGGAAUUCCUGGUGUAGCGGUGAAAUGCGUAGAUAUUAGGAGGAACACCAGUGGCGAAGGCGACUUACUGGACUGUAACUGACGUUGAGGAUCGAAAGCGUGGGGAGCAAACAGGAUUAGAUACCCGAGUAGUC
rnacentral:rRNA from 1 species